rnacentral:rRNA from 1 species
UACGUAGGUGACAAGCGUUGUCCGGAUUUACUGGGCGUAAAGAGCGCGCAGGCGGUCGUUCAAGUCGAGUGUGAAAGCCCCCGGCUCAACUGGGGAGGGUCACUCGAUACUGAUCGACUCGAAGGCAGGAGAGGGAAGUGGAAUUCCCGGUGUAGUGGUGAAAUGCGUAGAUAUGGGAGGAACACCAGUGGCGAAGGGCGACUUCCUGGCCUGUUCUUGACGCUG